rnacentral:lncRNA from 1 species
UCAACCAACACAACCUUUCAUGUUUAACCAGAGAGAAGAGAAGAGAACCGAAUUGAAACAGAUAAGGAGAGCCGGAUGGGACUCAGGAACCGAGCAGAGCCGCGGUGUGGUCGCAUGGACCGUCUUUUCGGUCUGAAGGAGCCACGGCCCAUCACGUACCUUGUGAACCACGUCUGGUUCUCCAUGCUCUUCUCCUUGUCUUGAUCUCCCAUUCUGGACCGGAGUUAGUUCCCAAAUGAUCAGUCGCCGAAACACAACACCACCACACUCGGCCUUUCUCUUGGCAGGAACUCUC